CAAGUCGCUUCGAAAGUUUGGAGUCCCGCGCAUUUAACGGAACAUCCCGAACAGUUACUGAGUAGAUAAAAAAAAAGGAAAACAGAAAAAAUAGAAAAAUUGGAAAUAUUGUUCACAAAAUCUUUCCUGCGGCGGGUGGCCGCGAAUAUGAAUUUCGAUUCAAAUUUCAUGUUGUGUUUUGAGUGAGUGCAGCUGAUCGUAUUGUUGCAGAAGUGUUCGUAGUUUGAAGAGUUUUGUCAAGGAUUGUGUCGCAUCGAGAAACACGUGUUUUUUUAACAUCCUGAAGCUUGUACUGGUUCGACACGACGAACAUGUUUUUCAACUGGUCUGUCAAGUGUUUCUUGGUUUUACUUCUCUACUUGGAAUGCACUAAAGGUAAGAAUUCAGUCACAUAUUGUAAAAUGAUGUCAAAACCACUCCAUAGCUGUGUUUCCUCCAAAUUCUGUCUUGCAUAUUAUACUACGUGUAAUGAUAGACAUCUUUGCUUUUGACAUCCACGCCGGGCCAAUAGCAGGAAGGAAGUCUGCCUUUGGGACAUCCAUUGUAUCAUGACGCAUGAUCGCCUUUCAUCACGCAUCUUGGAAGCUUGAUGGAAUACUUAGUGCCCUUUAACGGACGGCUUGUCUACUUUGAUGGAUCGAAGGAGGUACAGCGAAUGUGUUCUCUGCUUGUGCGACAUACUUCAGCAUAAUAGCCUUUCUUUCGAAUGUGUAUUGUUUUAUUAAAGGGUGGCUUUGG